CGUGCCGGCCCGGGACGCGGGCGGCGGGCUGAGGGGAGCCUCGGUCCGGGUAACCCGGCCUGGCACCUCAGCGGCCCACGGGGCUGGCGUGUGGUGGCCCGGGCUUACUCUCGGAUGUCCAUCCCAGAGAUAUGGGAGGCGGCGUGGGGACCGUUAGCUUUCAGGAACCUGUCGUCUCUUAGAUGGCGUUGGUCAUGCCCUGGAGCGGGGCCGCGGGAGGCCUUAAAGCGGUUUGCGUUGCAUUCUUUGUGCCCCGCAUCGCGGCGGCUCCUCGCUCAGAAGCUUCCGUGGCCCCACAGCCCCACCGGUCCGAGAGGAUCGCACGGUCUGGGAGGACAGGGCACAGGAGGGGAACCCCUUGGUUCUCGCCUCCGGGCUUUGCGGACUGAUCAGUAUCAAGCCAUGGGAACAACCUCGUCCCUAAUUCCGAUCGUGGUUCGGAGCCUCUCUUUGCGUCCCAGAUCCAGUGAUUGUUCAACAGAUAUGAUUAAAGCAAAUUUGAAGAGUCUUUAUUAUAUGCAAAACAUGAUGAGGGGACAUCCCUGGUGUUCCAGUGGCUAAGACCCUGCACUCCUAAUGCAGGGGGCCUGAGUUCCAUCCCUGCUUAGGGAACUAGAUCCCACAUGCUGCAACUAAAGAUCAAAGAUCCCGCAUGCUGCAACUAAGACCUGGAGCAGUGAAAUAAAUAUUAAAAAAUUUUUCUUUUACAUUAAGCAUGAUAAGGGUACAAAAAUGAAUACAAUCUGUUCCCUGCCCUCAAGAAGUUUUUGUUUAUGGCAAGAAGGACCUGGAAGUAAUUAUGUAAAAUAAGACUAAUUAAGACUAAUAAAUAAAUCACCAAGGAGACUUAAAGAUAAGUACUAUUAAAUGAUCAACCAAAUAGAGAAUUUAGAACUGGAUUUUGCUCUUAAGCAGGUGGGGAAGAUCAACCAAAACUAAGAACAGCAAACUAAGAGCAGAGGCUUAUACAACUAUCCUUAGAUCACACCAGAUCAUAUUCUAUGGAAGGAUGUUGUUAAGAGUCGUAAUCUUCCCACCAGGAUGUAAGCUAUUUUGUCAUCACCAUGUCAACUCUAUCCAGAAUGAUGUCUGGAAAAAAAAAAAAGUG
ensembl:lncRNA